rnacentral:rRNA from 1 species
AUUGAACGCUGGCGGCAUGCUUUACACAUGCAAGUCGAACGGCAGCGCGGGCUUCGGCCUGGCGGCGAGUGGCGAACGGGUGAGUAAUACAUCGGAACGUGCCCAGUAGUGGGGGAUAGCUCGGCGAAAGCCGGAUUAAUACCGCAUACGACCUGAGGGUGAAAGCGGGGGAUCUUCGGACCUCGCGCUAUUGGAGCGGCCGAUGGCAGAUUAGCUAGUUGGUGGGGUAAAGGCCUACCAAGGCGACGAUCUGUAGCUGGUCUGUGAGGACGACCAGCCACACUUGGACUGAGACACGGCCCAGACUCCUACGGGAGGCAGCAGUGGGGAAUUUUGGACAAUGGGCGAAAGCCUGGUCCAGCAAUGCCGCGUGUGUGAUGAAGGCCUUCGGGUUGUAAAGCACUUUUGGCGGGAACGAAAAGGACUGUGCCAAUACCACGGUUCGAUGACGGUACCCGCAGAAUAAGCACCGGCUAACUACGUG